UGGCUCAGUUGGUAGAGCAUGGUGUUUGCAACACCAGGGUUGUGGGUUCAAUCCCAC
rnacentral:tRNA from 1 species